rnacentral:rRNA from 1 species
UACGUAGGGUGCAAGCGUUGUCCGGAUUUAUUGGGCGUAAAGCGCUCGUAGGUGGUUUGGUAAGUCGGAUGUGAAAUCUCCAGGCUCAACCUGGAGGGGUCAUUCGAUACUGCCAUGACUAGAGGUCGGUAGGGGAGUGUGGAAUUCCUGGUGGAGCGGUGAAAUGCGCAGAUAUCAGGAGGAACACCCGUAGCGAAGGCGGCACUCUGGGCCGAUUCUGACACUGAGGAGCGAAAGCGUGGGGAGCGAACAGG